rnacentral:rRNA from 1 species
ACGAACGCUGGCGGCGUGCUUAACACAUGCCAGUCGAACGGAAAGGCCCCUUUGGGGGUACUCGAGUGGCGAACGGGUGAGUAACACGUGAGUAACCUGCCCUUGACUUCGGGAUAACUUCAGGAAACUGGGGCUAAUACCGGAUAGGAAUCCUUGCUGCAUGGUGGGGGUUGGAAAGCUUCGGCGGUUUUGGAUGGACUCGCGGCCUAUCAGCUUGUUGGUGGGGGAGUGGCUUACCAAGGCUUUGACGGGUAGCCGGCCUGCGAGGGCGACCGGCCACAUUGGGACUGAGAUACGGCCCAGACUCCUACGGGAGGCAGCAGUGGGGAAUAUUGCACAAUGGGCGGAAGCCUGAUGCAGCAACGCCGCGUGCGGGAUGACGGCCUUCGGGUUGGAAACCGCUUUCAGCAGGGGCGAAGCUUGUGGUGACGGUACCUGCAGAAGAAGCACCGGCUAACUACGUG